rnacentral:rRNA from 1 species
UACGUAGGGUGCAAGCGUUUGUCCGGAAUCAUUGGGCGUAAAGGGCGCGUAGGUGGCCUGGCAAGCGUGCGGUGAAAGCUCGGGGCUCAACCCCGAGUCGGCCGUGCGAACUGCUAUGGCUCGAGCACUGUAGAGGCAGGCGGAAUUCCGGGUGUAGCGGUGGAAUGCGUAGAGAUCCGGAGGAAGACCGGUGGCGAAGGCGGUCUGCUGGGCAGUUUCUGGACACUGAGGCGCGACAGCGUGGGGAGCAAACAGGG